GUUGAACUGUUCGUAUUCUACAGAAGAAAGUAAGAAAGAAAUGAGGAGGGAGGAAGAAUUUCAAGAGGGCAGUUGAGGAAGAGAUGGCGACUCUUCAACAAGGCCAAAGCAUAAUGGAAGUUGACCUCAAGGGCUCUAAUCUUAUUGUGGUAUGCUUACUAUUUCUAUCUGACUCUUAUUUUCUUUUCAAGUUAAAGGUUGUGCUAAAACUUAUAAUCUGUAAGCAAAGGUGAUGGAUGUGGCAUUAUCUAAUCGAAGCUUGCAUAAUCUAUUUCUCUUAAUGGUUUUUGCUUGAUGUCUACAUGGCUAUUGCUAUUUUCUUUGAAGUUCAUUAUAUUCCUGAAGUUAAUUUGGAUGAUUCUUUUGGUUUCAAUCAUUGGGAGCUUUGUUGUGGCUUAUAAAAGUGGGCGAGAAGAGGCAGUCGAGUCUGGUAGAAAAAUGGGUGCAUCAUAAUGCAAGUACUCUAUAAUGAACAAGUUAGUCUACUUCAAAAAUCUCCAAACUGGUAAGCACUUGUUCUAAUUCUUAACUAUUGUUUCUCUAUUGUUGUAUCUUCGAUUUUUAAUAUUAAAAUUAGCUUAGAGCAGAAAGUUCAUUCAUAAUUAAAUAAGCAAGUUAACGCAUGCUGCUGGCUUUUAUUGCAGGACAGAAACUUUCAAAUCAUGUCCCUGGUUAACUUGAAACAUGACUUGCAGUCGUAUACUUAAAAAAAAAGGAUGAUUGACGAAAGUUAAAAGUGAUGAUGAUGGACUCGCGCCAUAGAAACCAAUACAAAUAGACUAAAUACUUUUUGGACAUAGAUUACGAAUCGAGUUCUGAUGUUGAUUCUUGAAUUGGAUAUUGUGAUAGUAUUUACCUUUAUGUAUCAUAGAAAAUUAUCCUUAAUUUUAUAAUCAGCU
rnacentral:lncRNA from 1 species